ACAAACAACACAGCAAACCACAGUCAUGAGGACUUCUGAGAAAAACAAUGAGUGUUGUGAACAGGACAUUUAACCUUUAAAAUAACAUGCGUUUAAACAUGUCUUAAUGUCAUUGCAUUAGAUUGCAAAAUACUGAACCAAGUGGCAUUUUAAAUAAAAUAUAUUUUAUUAAAGAUGCCACUUGGUUUAAUAUUUUACAAUCUAAUUUAAAUAAAGAUUUCCAACAAAGCAAAAGAUUUUAAAAAAAAAUUGAUGGUAAAAAUAAUACUUUUUUACUUUCACAACAAACACAUUUCGUUCUGUUUAAAUUGCAUUUCUUUUCAGCAGUGCUUAAUGCACAAUAUUAAAAUGUCUGAAUGUCAUUGCAUUAGAUAAAGUAAUCAACCAAGUAGCAUUUAUUUUAAAUAAAUAUUUCAGCAAAACAUUUAACAAAAAAGGAUUGUGUUUGCUUGUAAUUGGAUGAUGUUGCUAGUUAAUGUGCUCCUCUACACCUGUGGUGACACCUCCUUUUAUUCACAAAAAGAUUGACUGGCUCAAAAAUGUGCAUUGUAGUGUGUAGCACUCACUGAAAAAGGCCCGAUAACACUUCGCAACCCUUGAGCCAAUAACAUACAAGAGACACAGACUCUCCUACCUUUGCGACGGUCACAGCCUCUUGAGGAUAAUACAUGGACGCAGACACAGCCAUUAGACCAGUCGGGUAGAUCAGUUUCUUCAGCCUGGAGCCUUGAAAUGACAAAAUAACACUAAAAAUUACACAACUGUUCAAAGGAAUCAUUCAAACUUUCACUACCUCUUCCAAGGAAAAGGCCCAGAAUCCCGGCAAAUCCGAUGACUCCGGCUCUGGGGUAAAACUCAGGUGGAGGAUUCUUCAAGUAGGCAUAACUGCCUAGAUGACGGUGC